AUUGAACGCUGGCGGCAUGCCUUACACAUGCAAGUCGAACGGUAACGGGCCUUCGGGUGCCGACGAGUGGCGAACGGGUGAGUAAUGCAUCGGAACGUACCUUUCAGUGGGGGAUAACGUAGCGAAAGUUACGCUAAUACCGCAUAUUCUGUGAGCAGGAAAGCAGGGGAUCGCAAGACCUUGCGCUGAUUGAGCGGCCGAUGUCAGAUUAGCUAGUUGGUGAGGUAAAAGGCUCACCAAGGCGACGAAUCUGUAGCGGGUCUGAGAGGAUGAUCCGCCACACUGGAACUGAGACACGGUCCAGACUCCUACGGGAGGCAGCAGUGGGGAAUUUUGGACAAUGGGGGCAACCCUGAUCCAGCCAUGCCGCGUGAGUGAAGAAGGCUCGGUGUAAG
rnacentral:rRNA from 1 species